rnacentral:rRNA from 1 species
UGGGGAAUCUUGGACAAUGGGGGCAACCCUGAUCCAGCCAUGCCGCGUGGACGAUGAAGGCCUUAGGGUUGUAAAGUCCUUUCGCCGGGGAAGAUAAUGACGGUACCCGGUAAAGAAGCCCCGGCUAACUCCGUGCCAGCAGCCGCGGUAAUACGGAGGGGGCUAGCGUUGUUCGGAAUUACUGGGCGUAAAGCGCACGUAGGCGGAUCAGUCAGUCAGGGGUGAAAUCCCGGGGCUCAACCCCGGAA